AAGAAUUCAUAAGAAGCAAUGACAGAUACAGAAAAAGAAAAAGUGGAUAUGUAACAACAACGAAAGUCUACAGAUGUUUCAAUUGGAACAAAGAUGGUCAAAAAACAAAAGGAAUCUACAUAGCAGAAACCUUCCAAAAAUAUAGGAAAGAAUCCUUAGAAAACAUAAGGUCAUCCCAAGGAAUAGAAGAAAGAUUAAACAGAUCAAUCCAAGCUGAAGGAGCUUUUUCUAAAAUAAAGUCAGGACUAAACUACAACAGAUUCCACCAUAGAGGAAAAGAAAAUAUAAUAAGUGAAAUAUGUCUCUUAUCAAUAGCAUUAAACUUAAAUAAAUUAGCGUCAAAAAUAGAAAAUAAGAACUUAGAAAUCAUAAAAUACAAAGCUGCUUAAGAAAAAAAUUUUUAAAAAAGCGAGCUCUAUUAAUUGAA
rnacentral:rRNA from 1 species